rnacentral:rRNA from 1 species
CCUACGGGAGGCAGCAGUGGGGAAUAUUGGGCAAUGGGCGCAAGCCUGACCCAGCAACGCCGCGUGAAGGAAGAAGGCUUUCGGGUUGUAAACUUCUUUUAAGGGGGAAGAGCAGAAGACGGUACCCCUUGAAUAAUCCACGGCUAACUACGUGCCAGCAGCCGCGGUAAUACGUAGGUGGCAAGCGUUGUCCGGAUUUACUGGGUGUAAAGGGCGUGCAGCCGGAGAGACAAGUCAGAUGUGAAAUCCACGGGCUCAACCCGUGAACUGCAUUUGAAACUGUUUCCCUUGAGUGUCGGAGAGGUAAUCGGAAUUCCUUGUGUAGCGGUGAAAUGCGUAGAUAUAAGGAAGAACACCAGUGGCGAAGGCGGAUUACUGGACGAUAACUGACGGUGAGGCGCGAAAGCGUGGGGAGCAAACAGGAUUAGAUACCCCUGUAGUC